CGGCUAUGAUGUAUGAAAUAUAUUUGCUACUUCAGAGGACCUCGCGUCCAAUGAGACAACAUUUCCACCAAGAUCUCUGAGCCU
rnacentral:snoRNA from 1 species